rnacentral:rRNA from 1 species
ACGCACGCUGGCGGCGUGCUUAACACCUGCAAGUCGAACGGAAAGGCCCUGCUUUUGUGGGGUGCUCGAGUGGCGAACGGGUGAGUAACACGUGAGUAACCUGCCCUUGACUUUGGGAUAACUUCAUGAAACUGGGGCUAAUACCGGAUAGGAGCUCCUGCUGCAUGGUGGGGGUUGGAAAGUUUCGGCGGUUGGGGAUGGACUCGCGGCUUAUCAGCUUGUUGGUGGGGUAGUGGCUUACCAAGGCUUUGACGGGUAGCCGGCCUGAGAGGGUGACCGGCCACAUUGGGACUGAGAUACGGCCCAGACUCCUACGGGAGGCAGCAGUGGGGAAUAUUGCACAAUGGGCGGAAGCCUGAUGCAGCAACGCCGCGUGCGGGAUGACGGCCUUCGGGUUGUAAACCGCUUUCGCCUGUGACGAAGCGUGAGUGACGGUAAUGGGUGAAGAAGCACCGGCUAACUACGUG